UCACAAACAAACUAUGACACAAGUGAUA
rnacentral:sRNA from 1 species